UUGUUGCAUUCUUUUGAAGAGUGCCAGGCUUUGUUCUAGCAGGCACUUAAGUCACUUGCAAUUUGGUUUGAUCCUUUUGAGCCUUGCUUUCAAGCUUUGUUAGGGCAUGUCUAAAGUAGCCUUUACUUUAGGGGUAGUUUAACCCCACUACUAAGUGAAGCAUGGCCAUUUUAGGGUCUUUACUAUGUCUUAAUUGAGGAGGCUUCACUUUAGUUGGUUGGAACUCAGAUGAUUUUUAGACCUUUGUGAGUCCUGGGAACUAUUCAGUUCAUGGUUUCCCAGCCACUCUGUUGUCUAAUCUUGUGGAGUUCCAUCCUACACAUUUAUGCCUUAAUAUUUAGCAAAGACUCAAAGAGAGUGCUAUGCAAAUCUCCGAAGGUCAUUUUUUGUAUAGCUUCUUCUGCAGAACUCUGUCUUCCAGCUUCCAAUCCUCUAACACUUUCUGAACUCUGAUCUUGGCUCCUCAAACUCAGAGAGAACACUGUGCUGUGCUUGGGAUUACCCAUCCCUAUUAUGUGGUCUCCACGCAAUGUGCCUCCAGGCAAAAUCUGGCCGAUCCCAGGGCUCUCCUCCUUUGUUUUCCUUUUCUCCAGGAUCACAGUCCUGUGCUGUCUGUUGUCUCACGUCUGAAAGCAGCUGCUUCAUAUAUUUUGUCCAGUUUUAUAGCUGUUUAACCAGGAGAGUAAAUAUGAUCCCUGCUACUUCAUUAUGGCUGGAAACAAGACUCCUUGUCCCUUUGAAUAAAAAUCGUAGGUUUUUUUUCUUUCUCAAGUUAUUUGAUGAAUCAUCUUUGUACAGUUGCAUUACUCUCAUUACAUUUAUUCAUGUCUUUAAAUAUUGUACUAACUCCCGGCUCCAUCUCGCGAGCGAGCGGGUUGGGCUGUGACGCUGCUUCCGGGGUCAGAAUGUCGUACCCAGGCUAUCCCCCUACACGCUACCCACCUUUCCCUUGAUAUCCUCCUGCAGGUCAGGAAUCAUCUUUUCCCCCUCUAGGUCAGUAUCCUUAUCCUAGUGGCUUUCCUCCAGUGGGAGGAGGUACUUACCCACAAGUGCCAAGUAGUGGCUACCCAGGAGCUGGAGGGCACCCUGCACCUGGAGGUUACCCAUCCCCGAGAGGCUAUCCUGGUGUCCCACAGCCAGGGGGAGCUCCAUCCUAUCCCGGAGUUCCUCCUGGCCAAGGAUUUGGAGUCCCACCAGGUGGAGCAGGCUUUUCUGGCUAUCCACAGCCGCCUUCGCAGUCUUGUGGAGGUGGUCCAGCAUGGGUCCCGCUACCUGGUGGCUCCCCUGGAGGACAGUAUCCUGGAGGACAAGCUCCUUAACAUAGUCAGCCUGCUUCGAUGACUCAGGGCGCUCAAGGAACAGUCAGACCAGCUGCCAACUUCGAUGCUAUGAUAGAUGCAGAAAUUCUCCAUAAAGCAAUGAAGGGUUUUGGGACAGACGAGCAAGCCAUUGUGGAUGUUGUGGCCAACCGUUCCAAAGAUCAGAGGCAAAAAAUUAAAGCAGCUUUUAAUACCAUGUAUGGCGGGGAUUUGAUCAAAGAUCUCAAAUCAGAGUUAAGUGGAAAUAUGGAAGAACUAAUCUUUGCCCUGUUCACGCCUCCUGCAUAUUACGAUGCCUGGAGUUUACGGAACGCAGUGCAGGAGCAGGAACUCAGGAACGCGUAUUGACUGAGAUUUUGUGCACAAGAACAAAUCAGGAAAUCCGAGAAAUCGUCAGAGGUUAUCAAUCAGAAUUAGGAUGGGACCUUGAAAAGGACAGUAGGUCAGAUACAUCAGGGCCUUUUGAAUGUUUACUUGUAUCCAUGUGCCAGGGAAAUCGUGAUGACAACCAGAGUGUAAACCACCAAAUGGCUCAGGAAGAUGCUCAGCGUCUCUAUCAAGCUGGUGAGGGAAGACUAGGGACAGAUGAAUCUUGCUUUAACAUGAUCCUUGCCACGAGAAGCUUUCCUCAGCUGAAAGCUACCAUGGAGGCUUAUUCCAGGAUGGCUAAUCGAGAUUUGUUAAACAGUGUGGGCCGUGAGUUUUCUGGGUUUGUUGAAAGUAGUUUGAAGAUCAUCUUGCAGUGCGCCCUGAACCGCCCUGCCUUCUUUGCUGAGAGGCUCUACUACGCUAUGAAAGGUGCUGGCACAGAUGACUCCACCCUGGUCAGGACUGUGGCCACUCGAAGUGAGAUUGAUCUUGUGCAGAUAAAACAGAUGUUUACGCAGAUGUAUCAGAAGACCCUGGGCACAAUGCUUGCAAGUGACACGAGUGGAGAUUAUCGAAGGCUGCUUCUACCCAUUGUGGGCCAGUAGGAAGAAUUUUUUUUUUUUUUACAUGAAUGAAGCUAUUCAUAGUUUACCCUUCAAAGCAGUGACCUGCAUGCAGCAAUAUCAACCAUCACCUAAGCAAAAGAGGUUUUUACUAAGGACUAUGUCAGGGUAAUGUGCUUGGUCUGCGCAUGUUCUUGCCUUAAUUCUAAUUUUUUUCUUUAUAUACAAUCAAUGUAAAGCCAUAUCACUAUGAUGUAGUAAUAUCACAAUGUUUGUUAAGCUUCAUUCUCACUAAUCUUAUUCUAAUCAGGAUGUCAAAUCGAAUAAAAAUCAAAACAAUCUC